rnacentral:rRNA from 1 species
UACGGGAGGCAGCAGUGGGGAAUAUUGCACAAUGGGCGCAAGCCUGAUGCAGCCAUGCCGCGUGUAUGAAGAAGGCCUUCGGGUUGUAAAGUACCUUUCAGUCGUGAGGAAGGUGUUAAGGUUAAUAACCUUAGCAAUUGACGUUAGCGACAGAAGAAGCACCGGCUAACUCCGUGCCAGCAGCCGCGGUAAUACGGAGGGUGCGAGCGUUAAUCGGAAUUACUGGGCGUAAAGGGCACGCAGGCGGUUAAUAAGUUGGAUGUGAAAUCCCCGGGCUUAACCUGGGAAUGGCAUUCAAGACUGGUUAGCUAGAGUCUUGUAGAGGGGGUAGAAUUCCAUGUGUAGCGGUGAAAUGCGUAGAGAUGUGGAGGAAUACCGGUGGCGAAGGCGGCCCCUGGGACAAAGACUGACGCUCAUGUGCGAAAGCGUGGGGAGCAAACAGGAUUAGAUACC